rnacentral:rRNA from 1 species
GAUGAACGCUGGCGGCGUGCCUAAUACAUGCAAGUCGAGCGAACGGACGAGAAGCUUGCUUCUCUGAUGUUAGCGGCGGACGGGUGAGUAACACGUGGAUAACCUACCUAUAAGACUGGGAUAACUUCGGGAAACCGGAGCUAAUACCGGAUAAUAUUUUGAACCGCAUGGUUCAAAAGUGAAAGACGGUCUUGCUGUCACUUAUAGAUGGAUCCGCGCUGCAUUAGCUAGUUGGUAAGGUAACGGCUUACCAAGGCAACGAUGCAUAGCCGACCUGAGAGGGUGAUCGGCCACACUGGAGCUGAGACACGGUCCAGACUCCUGCGGGAGGCAGCAGUAGGGAAUCUGCCGCAAUGGGCGAGAGCCUGACGGAGCAACGCCGCGUGAGUGAUGAAGGUCUUCGGAUCGUAAAACUCUGUUAUUAGGGAAGAACAUAUGUGUAAGUAACUGUGCACAUCUUGACGGUACCUAAUCAGAAAGCCACGGCUAACUACGUG